CACAUUUCCAUUGUUAUCAUACAGGUGGCAAAUAUGAGGCAUAAUGCAUUAUUUAGGAGGUUUAUAAGUGCUCUUACCCGUGGAGGACCUGGUGGAAUGCCCAGACCCAUUGAAGUACAUGCUCAUGAUCCCUUACGUUAUGUAGGUGACAUGCUAGGGUGGCUACAUCAGGCAUUGGCAUCUGAAAGAGAACUUGUCCUUGCAUUGCUAGAUCCAGAUGCAGUGGUUGAUACUGGCCCGACUGCACGCCGAUUCUCCUCCAAAGGUUUAGAGAGUGAUAUAGGAAAAAAUGAGACUGACUUGACGUUUGUUCUAGACAGGAUUUUUGAAGGAGUUUGCCGGCCAUUUAAAGUUAGAGUUGAACAAGUUUUGCAGUCGCAACCUAGUAUUAUAAUUUCAUACAAACUUAGUAAUACCCUGGAAUAUGCUGGUGUUACAGCUAAAGAAUCAAAUAUAUUCACUGUUGUUAUUGUGUCUGCAACUAGUGAUGGUUAUUGAGCCUAUUUGUUGUUCAUACUUGGGUUUUUUUGGGGGGUAAACCUCAACCAUUUGCUAUCAAACCAUGACCAUCACUUAAAAAUAUGGUAAAGACAAGACCCCCCAACCCACAAGGGAGACAUUUGCUAGAUUUCAAGAAGAAUUCACUUUAUAUACAGUUCAUUGUUUGCUGAUUUAUAAAAUUUCUCUUCUUCUAGAUUAUUGAUGAAAAGUCUUCGAUUAAAAAGUAUCAAAGAGAAAUAUCAAGCCUCAAACUAGAACUGGAUCAGUCAUGAGGAGAUUAUUAGCUUAAGACAACAGUUGGAAGAAGGUCAAGUGAAAAUGCAGUCAAGAUUAGAGGAAGAGGAGGAAGCCAAGGCUGCUCUAAUGAGUAGAAUACAAAGGCUAAUCAAGCUCAUACUUGUUUCUACAAAGAAUGCAAUUCCUGCAUGUUUGAAUGAUGUGCCCAAUCAUCAAUGAAGGCAUUUUGUUGGCGAGGAUGAUGUAGGGGCAAUUGAUUUUGUUAUGGGACUUCCAAAAUCUCUGACGGAGAAGCUUAUUCAAGCUCUUUAAAUUCUGUUAGUGGUGCUGAUGUUCUGAUCUUGCUUCAUUGUCUUCGAUGUUUGUUUUUUCGCCAUAUUUCGAGUUAUGGGCUAAGUUGAUUCAUUUGAUUGGUUUUUAUUCGAAAGUCCUGUAUCUUAAUGUCAUGUUGGUAUGUAUGCAUUAACAUUUUUUCUGGGGUAUGCAUUAACAUUUUUUUA